rnacentral:rRNA from 1 species
GAUGAACGCUGGCGGCGUGCCUAAUACAUGCAAGUCGAGCGAACAGACGAGGAGCUUGCUCCUCUGACGUUAGCGGCGGACGGGUGAGUAACACGUGGAUAACCUACCUAUAAGACUGGGAUAACUUCGGGAAACCGGAGCUAAUACCGGAUAAUCUAUUGAACCGCAUGGUUCAAUAGUGAAAGACGGUUUUGCUGUCACUUAUAGAUGGAUCCGCGCCGCAUUAGCUAGUUGGUAAGGUAACGGCUUACCAAGGCAACGAUGCGUAGCCGACCUGCGGGGGGGAUCGGCCACACGGGACCGUAGCCACGGUCCAGACUCCUACGGGAGGCAGCAGUAGGGAAUCGUCCGCAAUGGGCGAAAGCCUGACGGAGCAACGCCGCGUGAGUGAUGAAGGUCUUCGGAUCGUAAAACUCUGUUAUUAGGGAAGAACAAAUGUGUAAGUAACUAUGCACGUCUUGACGGUACCUAAUCAGAAAGCCACGGCUAACUACGUG